CCGUCAUUCGGUAGGAUAAAUCCCACGAACUAUGGGAUUCAUCCGAAUGCAAACUCAACUAUAGAUGGCAUAGAUUUUCGGGACUUUUGAUGCGUGAACGGAGACCGACCACAGGGCCAAGAUUCAUGGAACUAUUUUCGGCUACUUUGCCCAUGCGGUCGAACAAAUCUUUGCGUCCUCGUAACUCCUGAACCCCUGGUCUGAUCUG